rnacentral:rRNA from 1 species
UACGAAGGGGGCUAGCGUUGCUCGGAAUUACUGGGCGUAAAGCGCACGUAGGCGGCUUCUUAAGUCGGUGGUGAAAUCCUGGAGCUCAACUCCAGAACUGCCUUCGAUACUGGGAGCUCGAGUCCGGGAGAGGUGAGUGGAACUGCGAGUGUAGAGGUGAAAUUCGUAGAUAUUCGCAAGAACACCAGUGGCGAAGGCGGCUCACUGGCCCGGUACUGACGCUGAGGUGCGAAAGCGUGGGGGAGCAAACAGGG